rnacentral:lncRNA from 1 species
CCAAAUUAGGUGAGCUAUUGAUUGCCUCCUACAAAAGGCCCAAACAUCUCUCCUACUUGGGCCUACUCAAGAAAACUAUUAUCCUUAACACAGAUUCUUUGGCAGUGUUUUCAACCCAUUGCUCCUUUACAUGAGACUUCUAGUUCUUUGCAGGAAAAGCAGAAGUUAAUUUUUUUUUUCUUACGUAAUCUUUAGAUAUCAAUUGUUGGUUGGUUCAGAACAUUUUGGGGAAGGACAAUCACCCCUUUCAAGUCUUUUAAGACUUUAUCAUUGGUAAAAAGCUCUAAAACUGUGUAACUUCCUGACAUUAAUGAGAUGUUGUUGAGUCUCUUGCAUUAGUUUGUUGCUCAGUCGCUCAGCCG